rnacentral:rRNA from 1 species
GACAGAGGGUGCAAACGUUGCUCGGAAUCACUGGGCGUAAAGGGCGCGUAGGCGGCGUGACAAGUCACUUGUGAAAUCUCUGAGCUUAACUCAGAACGGCCAAGUGAAACUGUUGUGCUAGAGUGCAGAAGGGGCAAUCGGAAUUCUUGGUGUAGCGGUGAAAUGCGUAGAUAUCAAGAGGAACACCUGAGGUGAAGACGGGUUGCUGGGCUGACACUGACGCUGAGGCGCGAAAGCCAGGGGAGCAAACGGG